UACAGAGGGGGCAAGCGUUAUUCGGAAUUAUUGGGCGUAAAGGGCGCGUAGGCGGCUUUGCAAGUGGCGGGUGAAAUCCCUCGGCUUAACCGAGGAACUGCCUGUCAAACUGCAUGGCUUGAGACCAGGAGAGGUGAGUGGAAUUCCCAGUGUAGCGGUGAAAUGCGUAGAUAUUGGGAGGAACACCAGUGGCGAAGGCGGCUCACUGGACUGGUACUGACGCUGAUGCGCGAAAGCGUGGGAGCAACAGG
rnacentral:rRNA from 1 species